AGAGGAAGUAAAAGUCGUAACAAGGUUUCCGUAGGUGAACCUGCGGAAGGAUCAUUAAUGAUUAACUGUCUGUCGAGCUUGCUCACAGACUUAUCAUAUCCAUAACACCUGUGCACUUGUCGGAUGGCUUAGUGAAGACCGCAAGGUUGGAUCUAUCCAUCUACUUUACAUAACAAUUUAGUAACAAAUGUAGUCUUAUUAUAACAUAAUAAAACUUUCAACAACGGAUCUCUUGGCUCUCGCAUCGAUGAAGAACGCAGCGAAAUGCGAUAAGUAAUGUGAAUUGCAGAAUUCAGUGAAUCAUCGAAUCUUUGAACGCACCUUGCGCUCCCUGGUAUUCCGGGGAGCAUGCCUGUUUGAGUGUCAUGAAAACCCUCAACCUUAGAUUGGUUAACACCUUUCUUUGGCUUGGAUUUGGACGUUUGCCGAUGAUAAGUCGGCUCGUCUUAAAAGUAAUAGCUGGAUCUGUCUCGCGACAUGGUUUGACUUGGCGUAAUAAGUAUUUCGCUAAGGACAUCUUCGGAUGGCCGCGUUGCAAGACUAAAGACCGCUUUCUAAUCCAUUGAUCUUCGGAUUAAUAUUCUUGACAUCUGGCCUCAAA
rnacentral:sRNA from 1 species